UACGUAGGGUGCAGGCGUUAAUCGGAAUUACUGGGCGUAAAGCGUGCGCAGGCGGUUUCUUAAGUCAGAUGUGAAAGCCCCGGGCUUAACCUGGGAACUGCGUUUGAAACUGGGAGACUUGAGUGUGGCAGAGGGGGGUGGAAUUCCACGUGUAGCAGUGAAAUGCGUAGAUAUGUGGAGGAACACCGAUGGCGAAGGCAGCCCCCUGGGUUAACACCGACGCUCAUGCACGAAAGCGUGGGGAGCAAACAGG
rnacentral:rRNA from 1 species